UACGUAGGGGGCAAGCGUUGUCCGGAAUCAUUGGGCGUAAAGAGCGUGCAGGCGGCCCGAUAAGUCGGGUGUGAAACCUCCAGGCUCAACCUGGAGACGCCACCCGAUACUGUCGUGACUAGAGUCCAGUAGGGGAGCGUGGAAUUCCUGGUGUAGCGGUGAAAUGCGCAGAUAUCAGGAGGAACACCAGCGGCGAAGGCGGCGCUCUGGGCUGGAACUGACGCUGAGGAGCGAAAGCGUGGGGAGCGAACAGG
rnacentral:rRNA from 1 species